AUUGAACGCUGGCGGCAUGCUUUACACAUGCAAGUCGAACGGUAACAGGCCGCAAGGUGCUGACGAGUGGCGAACGGGUGAGUAAUGCAUCGGAACGUGCCCAGUCGUGGGGGAUAACUACUCGAAAGAGUAGCUAAUACCGCAUACGAUCUAUGGAUGAAAGCGGGGGACCGUAAGGCCUCGCGCGAUUGGAGCGGCCGAUGUCAGAUUAGGUAGUUGGUGGGGUAAAGGCUCACCAAGCCAACGAUCUGUAGCUGGUCUGAGAGGACGACCAGCCACACUGGACUGAGACACGGCCCAGACUCCUACGGGAGGCAGCAGUGGGGAAUUUUGGACAAAGGGCGCAAGCCUGAUCCAGCAAUGCCGCGUGCAGGAAGAAGGCCUUCGGGUUGUAAACUGCUUUUGUACGGAACGAAACGGCUCUGGUUAAUACCCGGGGCUAAUGACGGUACCGUAAGAAUAAGCACCGGCUAACUACGAG
rnacentral:rRNA from 1 species